UCUUUUGGAGGAGCGAAGAAAGUGGUUUCUUGAGAUGGAAUCUACUCCUACUGAAGAUGCUGUGAA
rnacentral:pre_miRNA from 1 species